rnacentral:rRNA from 1 species
GACGAACGCUGGCGGCGUGCCUAAUACAUGCAAGUAGAACGCACAGUUUAUACCGUAGCUUGCUACACCAUAAACUGUGAGUUGCGAACGGGUGAGUAACGCGUAGGUAACCUGCCUGGUAGCGGGGGAUAACUAUUGGAAACGAUAGCUAAUACCGCAUAAUAUUGAUUAUCGCAUGAUAAUUGAUUGAAAGAUGCUAUUGCAUCACUACCAGAUGGACCUGCGUUGUAUUAGCUAGUAGGUGAGGUAACGGCUCACCUAGGCGACGAUACAUAGCCGACCUGAGAGGGUGAUCGGCCACACUGGGACGGAGACACGGCCCAGACUCCUACGGGAGGCAGCAGUAGGGAAUCUUCGGCAAUGGACGAAAGUCUGACCGAGCAACGCCGCGUGAGUGAAGAAGGUUUUCGGAUCGUAAAGCUCUGUUGUAAGAGAAGAACGGGUGUGAGAGUGGAAAGUUCACACUGUGACGGUAUCUUACCAGAAAGGGACGGCUAACUACGUG